UGCAGUGAGCCGAGAUCAUGCCUGGGUGACAGAGCGAGACUCCGUCUCGAAAACAGAAAAACAAGAAACCAAAAAGCCCUACCUCAGUACCUCAGUCACCAAGAGCCCCAAGCAGAGUUACCGGAAGAUAGCUGACAUGUAUUAAAUGUUUGUGGAAUAAGGAAUACAUGAAGAAGUCUAUCAUUCAAUCAAAGAAAACUAAGUAUCAUUGGAGGUCUUUCCAUUUUGGGGUCCAGUGGGUGUCCUUUGAGUCAAGAGCAUGAUCUUCAAUAGACUUGGGGCCAGAAAUGUGACAUGUGUCUGAAUCCAAUCAGAUCCAGUUAAGAUCCACAAAUGCUAGUCACUGGAAUCUGCAGCCCUUGAAUUAAUUCUGUCCUUAGAUUUGAUAAGCCAAUGUCAGAUUUAUUGUUGUUAUUUAUUAUUCUGUCCCUCCAGGAUGACAUUAGGAACAUACUGUCAAGAAAAGGAUGAUGCGUGUGCUGCAAAAUGCAGGACAAUUCACUUUCCAGGUGGGGUCUGGGGCCUGUGGCUUCUCUGUGAACUUUCUUUGUGUGCUGUGGAAUAUUUUCCAGCUGCAGCCUAUUGUCCUGUGAUUAGACUCUGGGGCUCCACAGAAUCUUGAUGACUAGCAUUUGGAGGAACACACCUUGGGAAAUGGUGAUUCUGUCCAAACUUUUUGUGUUAUGGCUGUGAGAAAUAGACUUACAGAAGGAGAUGUCCGCCCCACAUCUCUAAACUCAUGGGUGGAAACUCAGACUAAGACGGCACCUAGAAUGUGGUCCAGCACAUUGAGAAUAGAGCAGAAGAUGAAAGCUGGAGGGGCUGAGGGGCCUUGGAGGCAGAGUUGGGCUCAACUUCUCAUUCCCUGGGACGAACUGUGCACAGUAGCCUCUGCUCCUCCUUCUUCAGUGAAGACUGCGAUGCCUGUGUUGGGGCUCAGAAACCGAUACCCCAAAAUAUGAUGCUUUGUACAUGCUGAACUGAAACAGGAGCUUUAAGCUCUUUCAGGCCUCCCCACAUCUUACCGUCUCUCCCAAAGUGUAGGAUUCUCUGAAAGUCUUUGUCUGCCUAAAGUCCAGACCUACCAAUGAAGAAAACAAUCACCUCCUGCCCUUUGUCUGAGUUUUCAUGAGCUGAACCCAUAUUGCAGGAAGGAAGGCUAAGAUCUGUCAACACACCUGGGCAGACUUUUGUCACAAACCAUUGUCUGCUCUGAGGACCCAAAAGAGCUUGUCCCAGAUAAUUGCCUGUUCUUUAAGGCUAUUAAAUUCUCCCUGGUAACCAUUUACUGUCCUUCAACGGAAGUCCUCUUCUUCCCCCUCCCAUGACCUGUAUGACCAGCUCCCAUGCCCCCAUUCUUUCUGUAACCUCAAGAUGGUUUAUAAACUUCUGCGCCUCAUUGAGGGGUUGGGUCUUCAUUCUGAGGGCUCCCGUGUCACCUAAAGCUAUGGUCAGAUACAUUUGUAUGUGUUUUCUCCAAUUAAUCUGCCUUUCGUGAGUUGAUUUAUCGUGAAACUUCAGAGGAUGAAGGAGAAAUUUUCCCUUUGCACCUAUGCCUGCCACCCUCACAGGCUGUGUGAAGGUCCUUCUUCAAAAAAUACUGGCUAUUCUUGGCACUGACCUGGCCUCGGCUUUCAGGAAGAGAGGGGAGGCAGGCUCCCUUUCCCAAGACAUGCUGGCAGCCUGAGAGUCAAGGCCAUGGGGUGUUCACAGAUGAGGCCCCCUGAUAUUUACAUGUCUUAGGGAUCAGAAGUGGGCACAGCUGGGGCAGAGCGAGGAAGUGCUAACACCCACCAGGCAUCUGCGAGGGGACGCCCACAUCAAGAAAACCUCAGCACAAGGUUGAGUGUUUCAGCAAACCUCGGGGAGAUUGCACAUUUACUCAUGAAGAGACCACAUGGUGAGGUCAGCCCCAAAACCAGGCCAAUGUCUCUCAAGCCCAACUAGUUUUCAAGACAAUGUCUUGCAACUUAUAGAGUUUGGGGGGAAGGCAGUGUGAAGUUCAGGGGGGAAGGCAGUGUGAAGGUGAGCAUAUCAGUAGCUACCCACCAUGCUGGCUAAUCACUGGGAAAUUCUUUUAUAAACAGCCACAGUCUCUCUCAAGUUUUCCAAAAUUAGAACCUCUCCAAAUUUAUUUUUUUCAAGGCUUCAGAAAUAUCCCAUAAAUCUUUGAAAACGAAAAUUUCUUCUCUCUCCUCAGUCCUCACCCAGGGCUUCUGAUGCUGCCAGUCAAUCCCAAGUCAUGCUUGGUGUUUGGGGACCACGGCAGUGCAAAACCUCUGAGGGCCUGGGGAGAAGGAAUACCUGCAAGACUAAGAAUAAUGAAGGGAUAUAACAGAGGAUAGCCUCACUAUGCUCCUACUCCAGAAAAUUGGAUUAUUGUCUGCAAAGAUUCCUCAGUCUUGUGGACACUGAUGAAAUAUUGUAGACUGGAAUUGAAUCUGGCUUGUUGUCUGUUUGUUUAUUCCUGAGCCUGAUAAUUUAUUUGAACAACUUUGCCUUUCUAUAGUACAUGAUGAUCGGCAAGUUACUAUGA
rnacentral:lncRNA from 1 species